CUGUCCUGCCCCAGUCAAGGGAGCGCCCAACGCGGGGACCCACCGACCCCAGGCCGCAGCAGCUGGAGCCCCCAUUCCCAGCUCCACGUGGGCUCCCAGCCAGUGCCUUCCCCUCCCGAGGGCACGCACGCUGCUGGGCCAGCCUUGGGGACAGGAGGACAUCAUGCGGGGCACACAGGGGACGGCCACAUGUGCUUCCCAACACGGGGGUUGGCGCUGCAACAGACAGGAUAUAACAGGUAGCGUCUCGCAGGCGGUCAUCGGUGGACCCGCUGCUCGACCGGCAGCCGCUCUUCCAUCCCAAGACUCCGCAGGGACAAGCCCCACCCGGAGGGGGAAGAGAGUCACCAACCUCCCAUUAGCAGUGGCAGAAAUUGCCCUAAAGAUACAGAUGAUUUAAUCUGCGUA